CAUCUUGGGUUCCUUUGCACGUACAUAGAAUAAAGUGCAGCUAGCAAGGCAGAAGACAGGAAGUUACAGAAGAAAAAGAUUGCUCAGAAAAGCAGAAAGGAUGUAGUACGUUAAGCUGGAGGUUUUUAAGAGACUGUAUCCAUCCAGGAUCGAAAGGCAUUAGGCAUUCCCAGUUGUUGCCAGUUCUACAUCAGCGUUCAUCAUCCUGGCCUACAUCUCUGUCACAGAUAUGAGUCAUAACAUCAUGACCGAUGGUCCUGUGGUAUGAGCAGUAAAGGAGCAUCCCUGAGCAGACUGAAGGAUGUUGGGCACUGGUCCACCCAGGUGAGAUGUGUUAAGUCAUUAAGCAGUGACUGAUGUGAGCCUGGAUUUCAGCUUCUGCUCCUUCUGUUUUUAACAAAGUUGUUAAUUUUAAUGAGUUUUAUAUAUAUAUAAAAAAAUCAGCUUCACAAAUAUUGUGUAAGCCUGA
rnacentral:lncRNA from 1 species